AUAUGGGCUAGUGCGCACACGGACCCCAAGUGCGCGCGAACUCUGGCACAUCAGCGUCCUACAAUGCGUGCCGCCUCUCCUACCUCGUAGCACGCGCAUACCUGAGGUCGCGCGCAACUCUCAAAAUUCUACCUCAAAUCACGUGAAAAUUUUGACGCACUUUACUAAAUCGCGCAAGAAUUUCUGUGCGCUCCACCAAAUCGCUUGAUAGUUUCACCUCGCUUAACCAAAUUGCGCGAGCUCUUCAACGCAUCUACCAAAUCGCGCUCGCUAUCAAACGAAUAAAUAAAAAAUAUUAUUUCUCCACGCCACGCCAACGACUAACGAAACACUACAGCACCGAUCUACUCUCGACACGAUCCGGUAUCAUUUUCGACUAGGCUCCCACAUCGAAUCGAGAGUGGGGGGCUUGCGAGACAAACCCACCGCGAGACAACUCCCACGAGGAGCAAACUCGCUCGGCCCUACACACCCGUUGCGAGGCAACUCCCACGAGGAGCAAACUCG
rnacentral:lncRNA from 1 species